GUGAAAUAGGUGAUGGGGAUUGCAUGAGACUCUCAAUCUCAAGGUCGUGAGUUCAAGCCCCACGUUACACA
rnacentral:tRNA from 1 species